UACGGGGGGGGCAAGCGUUGUUCGGAAUUACUGGGCGUAAAGGGCUCGUAGGCGGCCAACUAAGUCGGACGUGAAAUCCCUCGGCUUAACCGAGGAACUGCCCUCCAAACUGCUUGGCUUGAGUCCGGGAGAGGUGAGUGGAAUUCCCAGUGUAGCGGUGAAAUGCGUAGAUAUUGGGAGGAACACCAGUGGCGAAGGCGGCUCACUGGACCGGAACUGACGCUGAGGCGCGAAAGCGUGGGGAGCAAACGGG
rnacentral:rRNA from 1 species